UUACACAUGCAAGUCGAGCGGUAACAGAGGUAGCUUGCUAUCUGCUGACGAGCGGCGGACGGGUGAGUAAUGCUAGGGAAUAUGCCUUUGAGUGGGGGACAACAGUUGGAAACGACUGCUAAUACCGCAUAACGUCUACGGACCAAAGGGGGGGAUGCUUCGGCACCUCAAGCUCAUUGAUUAGCCCAAGUGAGAUUAGCUAGUUGGUAAGGUAAUGGCUUACCAAGGCGACGAUCUCUAGCUGGUUUGAGAGGAUGAUCAGCCACACUGGGACUGAGACACGGCCCAGACUCCUACGGGAGGCAGCAGUGGGGAAUAUUGCACAAUGGGCGAAAGCCUGAUGCAGCCAUGCCGCGUGUGUGAAGAAGGCCUUCGGGUUGUAAAGCACUUUCAGCGAGGAGGAAAGGUUAGUAGUUAAUAGCUGCUAGCUGUGACGUUACUCGCAGAAGAAGCACCGGCUAACUUCGUGCCAGCAGCCGCGGUAAUACGAGGGGUGCAAGCGUUAAUCGGAAUUACUGGGCGUAAAGCGUGCGUAGGUGGUUUGUUAAGCAAGAUGUGAAAGCCCCGGGCUCAACCUGGGAACUGCAUUUUGAACUGGCAAACUAGAGUUUUGUAGAGGGUAGU
rnacentral:rRNA from 1 species